UAGGGAAUUUUUCACAAUGAGCGAAAGCUUGAUGGAGCAAUGCCGCGUGAACGAUGAAGGUCUUUAAGAUUGUAAAGUUCUUUUAUUUGGGAAGAAUGACUUUAGCAGGUAAUGGCUAGAGUUUGACUGUACCAUUUUGAAUAAGUGACGACUAACUAUGUGCCAGCAGUCGCGGUAAUACAUAGGUCGCAAGCGUUAUCCGGAUUUAUUGGGCGUAAAGCAAGCGCAGGCGGAUUGAAAAGUCUGGUGUUAAAGGCAGCUGCUUAACAGUUGUAUGCAUUGGAAACUAUUAAUCUAGAGUGUGGUAGGGAGUUUUGGAAUUUCAUGUGGAGCGGUGAAAUGCGUAGAUAUAUGAAGGAACACCAGUGGCGAAGGCGAAAACUUAGGCCAUUACUGACGCUUAGGCUUGAAAGUGUGGGGAGCAAAUAGGAUUAGAUACCCUAGUAGUCCCACACCGUAAACGAUAGAUACUAGCUGUCGGGGCGAUCCCCUCGGUAGUGAAGUUAACACAUUAAGUAUCUCGCCUGGGUAGUACAUUCGCAAGAAUG
rnacentral:rRNA from 1 species